rnacentral:rRNA from 1 species
GACGAACGCUGGCGGCGUGCUUAACACAUGCAAGUCGAACGGAAAGGCCCUGCUUUUGUGGGGUGCUCGAGUGGCGAACGGGUGAGUAACACGUGAGUAACCUGCCCUUGACUUUGGGAUAACUUCAGGAAACUGGGGCUAAUACCGGAUAGGAGCUCCUGCUGCAUGGUGGGGGUUGGAAAGUUUCGGCGGUUGGGGAUGGACUCGCGGCUUAUCAGCUUGUUGGUGGGGUAGUGGCUUACCAAGGCUUUGACGGGUAGCCGGCCUGAGAGGGUGACCGGCCACAUUGGGACUGAGAUACGGCCCAGACUCCUACGGGAGGCAGCAGUGGUGAAUAUUGCACAAUGGGCGGAAGCCUGAUGCAGCAACGCCGCGUGCGGGAUGACGGCCUUCGGGUUGUAAACCGCUUUCGCCUGUGACGAAGCGUGAGUGACGGUAAUGGGUAAAGAAGCACCGGCUAACUACGUG